UACGUAGGGUGCAAGCGUUGUCCGGAAUUAUUGGGCGUAAAGAGCUCGUAGGCGGUUUGUUGCGUCGGCUGUGAAAUCCCGAGGCUCAACCUCGGGUCUGCAGUCGAUACGAGCAAACUAGAGUAUUGCAGGGGAGACUGGAAUUCCUGGUGUAGCGGUGAAAUGCGCAGAUAUCAGGAGGAACACCGGUGGCGAAGGCGGGUCUCUGGGCAACAACUGACGCUGAGGAGCGAAAGCGUGGGGAGCGAACAGG
rnacentral:rRNA from 1 species